rnacentral:rRNA from 1 species
UCGAGAGGCUUCCGCAAUGGGGGAAACCCUGACGGAGCGACGCCGCGUGGGGGAUGAAGGCUUUCGGGUUGUAAACCCCUUUCGGGUGGGAAGAACGGUCACGAGGUGAACAAUCUCGUGGCCUUGACGGUACCGCCAGAAGAAGCUCCGGCCAACUCCGUGCCAGCAGCCGCGGUAAUACGGGGGGAGCGAGCGUUGUUCGGAUUCAUUGGGCGUAAAGGGCGCGUAGGCGGCUCGGUAAGUCUGACGUGAAAUGCACCGGUUCAACCGGGGCGCUGUGUCAGAAACUGCCAGGCUUGAGGUCGAGGGAAGAAGGUGGAAUUCCUGGUGUAGCGGUGAAAUGCGUAGAUAUCAGGAGGAACACCCGUGGCGAAAGCGGCCUUCUAUCUCGAUUCUGACGCUGAGGCGCGAAAGCUAGGGGAGCAAACGGG